rnacentral:rRNA from 1 species
UACGAAGGGGGCUAGCGUGGUUCGGAAUUACUGGGCGUAAAGCGCACGUAGGCGGAUUAGUAAGUCAGGGGCGAAAUCCCGGGGCUCAACCUCGGAACUGCCUUUGAUACUGCUGAUCUCGAGUCCGGAAGAGGUGAGUGGAAUUCCUAGUGUAGAGGGGAAAUUUGUAGAUAUUAGGAAGAACACCAGUGGCGAAGGCGGCUCACUGGUCCGGUACUGACGCUGAGGUGGGAAAGCGGGGGGAGCAAACAGG